rnacentral:rRNA from 1 species
UACGGAGGGUGCAAGCGUUAUCCGGAUUCACUGGGUUUAAAGGGUGCGUAGGUGGGCUUGUAAUCCGUGGUGAAAUCUCCAAGCUUAACUUGGAACUGCCGUGGAUACUAUAAGUCUUGAAUAUUGUGGAGGUAAGCGGAAUAUGUCAUGUAGCGGUGAAAUGCUUAGAUAUGACAUAGAACACCGAUAGCGAAGGCAGCUUGCUACACAAUUAUUGACACUGAGGCACGAAAGCGUGGGAUCAACAGG